AACGAACGCUGGCGGCAGGCCUAACACAUGCAAGUCGAACGCACCGCAAGGUGAGUGGCGCACGGGUGAGUAACACGUGGGAAUGUACCCCUUGGUUCGGAAUAACGUCUGGAAACGGACGCUAAUACCGGAUGAGCCCUGUGGGGGAAAGAUUUAUCGCCAAAGGAGCAGCCCGCGUCUGAUUAGCUAGUUGGUGGGGUAAAGGCCUACCAAGGCGACGAUCAGUAGCUGGUCUGAGAGGAUGAUCAGCCACACUGGGACUGAGACACGGCCCAGACUCCUACGGGAGGCAGCAGUGGGGAAUAUUGGACAAUGGGCGAAAGCCUGAUCCAGCCAUGCCGCGUGAGUGAUGAAGGCCUUCGGGUUGUAAAGCUCUUUCGCACGCGACGAUGAUGACGGUAGCGUGAGAAGAAGCCCCGGCUAACUUCGUGCCAGCCGCCGCGGUAAUAC
rnacentral:rRNA from 1 species